UACAGAGGGUGCAAGCGUUGUUCGGAAUUACUGGGCGUAAAGCGCGCGUAGGCGGACCUGCAAGUCGGGGGUGAAAGCCCGAGGCUCAACCUCGGAACUGCCUUCGAUACUGCGGGUCUCGAGUCCGGGAGAGGUGAGUGGAAUUCCUAGUGUAGAGGUGAAAUUCGUAGAUAUUAGGAAGAACACCCGUGGCUAAGGCGGCUCUCUGGGCAUGGUCCUGACGCUGAGGAGCGAAAGUGUGGGGAGCGAACAGG
rnacentral:rRNA from 1 species